rnacentral:misc_RNA from 1 species
CGGGAAAUUCUGCUGCGCGUUCCAAUUUCUUUGUAGCAUUUUCUUCGUAAACGUUACACGUAACCUGCAGUGGAGAUUGUUUCCCUUACGAGCCAGGAGAUUAAAUCCGCUUGAUAGAAAAAUGACAAAAAACGUUCGUCCUUUGGAAGAAAGGUCGCGGGAACGUUAAACUUUACCGUAUUAAAUUUUGAUCGCAAUUAGAAAAAAAAAUUAGAAACGUUUAGGGAAGAUCGGAGAAAAAGCAACAUGGCUAACUUUCGUUUCAAUUUUCCGAUUAGCAAGUAACGACUGUGAAAAAUAUGCGGCGAAGCGGUCAAGAGGUCGGGGUAUAUUGCGAUAUUUCAUAUAUCGGAACACUGUCGCAUCGAAGCGUCUACUCUGACGUUCUAGGCAUAUACGUAGGUGUACGUAUACUGUACACAUGCGUAUUAACGAAGCACCGAUAUAAUUACAUUGUUUAUUAUAAUAGGAAUCGCGUAUUCUACGAUUAAUCUAUACGUACGUAAUCUGUAGUAAUAAGAAUAUACGUUUUCCAGUAUCCGGAGGAUUUUCCAAGGAAGCCUGUAUUAUUUAAAUCGAACGACAAUAUAACGAACCAGCUUUAACGUCCUCUCCUUCUCUUUCCUUCUCUUCCUUUCUCCUUUCCGGAAUAGAAAUAAAUAAGAGUAUGCGCUAGCACAAAUUUUCCCUAAAUACGUCUUUACUCCAAGACACGCGUAAAGCGACAAAUAAAAGUGAGCGGAGCAAUUAACGAAUUCUUCGUUAAACGGGGGACGCGUUUAACGCGUUUAAACGAGAAAUUACGCGAAGCGAGAGGUACGCGCAUACACCCGUUUCAUUUUUUUUCUUCCUUCGUAUUUUGCUCGCGAACUAAGAACGAAGGAGCAUGCUUGGCAGUUGUACGUACUACUUGCCAUUUUAUAGGACCCCGACUUUCUUCUCAUUUUUCUGUGACGAGAAAGGAAAAAGAGAAAAAGAGAAAAGAUAGAGAAUCUUGGCGUUAAAUUAAAAAAUGCAAAUGAUUCUUCCGAUUGCCUCUAAAACCCAAAUGGAAAGUUAAACGGUGUGCAGGUAUUUCUUUGUUCGCAUCUAUCGUUACACAGGAUGUCUAUAAAUCUCUGCCAUUCGAAAUAGCUGUCUACCAGACUCGACAGACCAUGCAAAAUACGUAUAAAUCCAUCGUACGAGUAUAAUUCCAGUUAUUUCAUCAUUUUUCUAUGCGUGUCAACAAUGAGAGCAUUUAGAAAAAGCAUACGAUGACGUUUUGCGUUAGCAAGUUCGAAGGACAAUUAUCGUUCGCUGAUUGGCAACGACGAUUUCGCACGACGCUGUGCUUGUAAUGCCGAAUAAAGAAGAGAUUCGUGACGGAGAGAAUCUCGGUUACAUUUGUCACAAAUGUUAUCCCUCCCUUCUUUCGUCAAUGCGUCUCGAGUUCUCUUCUUCCUGUGAGUUACGUCGAAACCACGAUAAUGACCACUAAUUGACACCGA